CCUACGGGAGGCAGCAGUGGGGAAUAUUGGGCAAUGGGCGCAAGCCUGACCCAGCAACGCCGCGUGAAGGAAGAAGGCUUUCGGGUUGUAAACUUCUUUUAUCAGGGACGAAGCAAGUGACGGUACCUGAUGAAUAAGCCACGGCUAACUACGUGCCAGCAGCCGCGGUAAUACGUAGGUGGCAAGCGUUAUCCGGAUUUACUGGGUGUAAAGGGCGUGUAGGCGGGAGUGCAAGUCAGAUGUGAAAACUAUGGGCUCAACCCAUAGCCUGCAUUUGAAACUGUACUUCUUGAGUUCUGGAGAGGCAAUCGGAAUUCCGAGUGUAGCGGUGAAAUGCGUAGAUAUACGGAGGAACACCAGUGGCGAAGGCGGCCUGCUGGACGACAACUGACGGUGGGGCGCGAAAGCGUGGGGAGCAAACAGGAUUAGAUACCCCAGUAGUC
rnacentral:rRNA from 1 species